rnacentral:rRNA from 1 species
CAGUCGAACGAAACUUCUUUAUCACCGAGUGCUUGCACUCACCGAUAAAGAGUUGAGUGGCGAACGGGUGAGCAACACGUGGGCAACCUGCCCAAAAGAGGGGGAUAACACUUGGAAACAGGUGCUAAUACCGCAUAACCAUAGUUACCGCAUGGUAACUAUGUAAAAGGUGGCUAUGCUACCGCUUUUGGAUGGGCCCGCGGCGCAUUAGCUAGUUGGUGGGGUAAAGGCUUACCAAGGCAAUGAUGCGUAGCCGAACUGAGAGGUUGAUCGGCCACAUUGGGACUGAGACACGGCCCAAACUCCUACGGGAGGCAGCAGUAGGGAAUCUUCCACAAUGGGCGAAAGCCUGAUGGAGCAACGCCGCGUGGGUGAAGAAGGUCUUCGGAUCGUAAAACCCUGUUGUUAGAGAAGAAAGUGCGUGAGAGUAACUGUUCACGUUUCGACGGUAUCUAACCAGAAAGCCACGGCUAACUACGUGCCAGCAGCCGCGGUAAUACGUAGGUGGCAAGCGUUAUCCGGAUUUAUUGGGCGUAAAGGGAACGCAGGCGGUCUUUUAAGUCUGAUGUGAAAGCCUUCGGCUUAACCGGAGUAGUGCAUUGGAAACUGGGAGACUUGAGUGCAGAAGAGGAGAGUGGAACUCCAUGUGUAGCGGUGAAAUGCGUAGAUAUAUGGAAGAACACCAGUGGCGAAAGCGGCUCUCUGGUCUGUAACUGACGCUGAGGUUCGAAAGCGUGGGUAGCAAACAGGAUUAGAUACCCUGGUAGUCCACGCCGUANACGAUGAAUGCUAAGUGUUGGAGGGUUUNCGCCCUUCAGUGCUGCAGCUAACGCAAUAAGCAUUCCGCCUGGGGAGUACGACCGCAAGGUUGAAAC